UACGUAGGGUGCGAGCGUUAAUCGGAAUUACUGGGCGUAAAGCGUGCGCGGGCGGUUGUGCAAGACAGGUGUGAAAUCCCCGGGCUUAACCUGGGAACUGCACUUGUGACUGCACGACUUGAGUACGGCAGAGGGGGAUGGAAUUCCGCGUGUAGCAGUGAAAUGCGUAGAUAUGCGGAGGAACACCGAUGGCGAAGGCAGUCCCCUGGGCCUGUACUGACGCUCAUGCACGAAAGCGUGGGGAGCAAACAGG
rnacentral:rRNA from 1 species